GUUCAUAUCUACUUACGGAUGAUUUUCCAGAAAAGGAAUUUUGAGAAGCUUUAUUAUAUGAAAUAUUUAAUUUGAUACUGCUUUGUAGAACUUAACUCCAUAUGAAAUACGCUAAUUUUUAUAAUUUUUCAGAUAUUUGAGUCGUAUGAAAAAAGUAUUGGAUGCUCUCAGAUCCCCUGAUCCCUUGUAAAUUUGAAGGCUGAGGGAGGAAUCCAUUGGCCUUGCAGGUUUUCGAGCCUGUUUCGUGGAUUCAGUGAAAACAAACACAAUUCCGACUGAAAUGCGUUGGAUCGACCUGUUGGAAGGCUGUGGGAUAUAUAUUUUAAAGAUAUUUACCAAUGUUUGGGAUGCUGAUCCGCUGUACAUAUAGAGGCAGGGGGAGGAAACUUUCAUCCUGUGGGUGUUCGACAACCUUUCGUCCCGCCAGCGUAAUCGGACUCCACACGGACUGUACCAUAUUUGGUAGGGUACUUGGAAAUUGGAGGUUGCAUUAGAAAUUUAGGUUGGCAACCACAGAUUGGGGCGGGGUGGGGCCCCAAUCAUUACGUUCUAAUAUUAAUCAUGCAAUUGUGUGAUGAUGAGAUAGUCAGAGUGAUUGGUGAGGAGGAGAAUAUUCUUCGCGGAUUGAGAGAACCCUGCGAGCACCGGAACGUUGUAUUUACUGUCUGCGAAUGGACAAGAAGGAAUUGGUCUUUCUCAGGGGCCACUUCGCCGACCUUUCCCAGGCCGUCCUGAGGAAGCUGAUGGCUGAGAGAAGACUGGAAACCUUGAAUUCCGCCGCGGACAAAGGGUUGGGCGAUCGUCUCACUGGCCAGUCCAGUUAUCUCAAGCAGGUCUGAGACGUAUGGUGGAAUGUGGGUUGGUUCGUGUCUCCCACAAUGCACCGAGAGCCACCGCGGACUUGGACUCGUCCGACUCGGGCUGUUCGGUGGAACGUGCCACUUGGCGCCCGGCGCCAGGGCCAAUAUUCUGACCGCCCAGUCGAAGUUUCUCUACGCCCAAGGCCAGUGGAUAAACUCACUGCCUCCACGGGCGUUCACGUCGAUGCCAGCGGCCGGCAACUUAACCAUGCUGAGGUCAUCGCGGCGUGCACCGUGGUAGUGGCCGGGCGACCCGUUAAAUGGGCGGCCGCUGAGGUGGAUUCCUCGUACCGCUGAGCUGAGGGUAAAUAUGCGAGGGACAAGAAGGCGCCGCAGAAUUCCCCCCGUGUCCACUUUCCCCAGAGAGGAGAGAGGCGCCGCGUUGAAACCACCGAGCGGGACGGUGAAGCCCCUAGCCACGAGACCCGGUUCCCAGCCGGGAUUCGCUUCCUCGACGGAGGAGACACUGAGGCGCAGGUCUUCCGGGGUUUCCGGUGACUUGUCCGCAGCUACGUUCUGACUAUGUUCAAGACAAAGAGUAUAGGUGAAAUUUUCUUUAAUCCCCUUAUUUACGUAUAGUGAUUUCUCUGAACGAAUCCUUACGUAUGAAGCUACAACGCGCUUACAUAACCUUAGUCACUAUCAGAUUCUUCGCCAUAAAAAUAUUUCUGAACUCAUUUUGUGCAUUUCUUAGUCUUGUGACGUAUCUGUGCACGUAUAGGCACCUGUUAGAAUACAUAAAGAAAAGUUUUUGUGCGUAA